GUGCCAGCCGCCGCGGUAAUACCGGCAGCUCGAGUGGUCGUCGCUUUUAUUGGGCCUAAAACGUCCGUAGCCUGUUUGGUAAAUCUGUGGGUAAAUCAACGAGCUUAACUCGUUGAAUUCUGCAGAGACUGCCAGACUAGGGACCGGGAGAGGUAUGAGGUACUCUGGGGGUAGGGGUAAAAUCCUGUCAUCCUCAGAGGACCACCUGUUGCGAAGGCGUCAUACUGGAACGGAUCCGACGGUCAGGGACGAAGCCUAGGGGCACGAACCGGAUUAGAUACCCGGGUAGUCCUAGGUGUAAACGCUGUGGAUUUGGUGUGUGGGGUCCGCAAUGGGACCCAUGUGCCGGAGUGAAGAUGUUAAAUCCACUGCCUGGGGAGUACGGUCGCAAGUCUGAAACUUAAAGGAAUUGGCGGGGGAGCACUGCAACGGGAGGAGCGUGCGGUUUAAUUGGAUUCAACGCCGGAAAACUCACCAGGGCCGACUGUUAUAUGAAGACCAGCGUAAUGAGCUUGUCGGAUUUUCAGAGAGGUGGUGCAUGGCCGUCGUCAGUUCGUACUGUAAAGCGUUCUGUUAAGUCAGAUAACGAACGAGACCCUCAUCUCUAUUUGCAACCUGUCUCUCCGGAGGCGGCGCACUAUAGAGAGACCGCUGGUGUGAAACCAGAGGAAGGCGAGGGCAACGACAGGUCAGUAUGCCCCGAAUGUCCUGGGCUACACGCGCGCUACAAAGGACGGGACAAUGGGAAGCUAGGCCGAGAGGCCACGCUAACCCGAAACCCGUUCAUAGUUCGGAUUGAGGGCUGUAACUCGCCCUCAUGAAGCUGGAUUCCGUAGUAAUCGUGUUUCAAUAUAGCACGGUGAAUAUGCCCCUGCUCCUUGCACACACCGCCCGUC
rnacentral:rRNA from 1 species